GAUAACCAUUGGAAACGAUGGCUAAUACCGCAUAAUGCCUACGGGCCAAAGAGGGGGACCUUCGGGCCUCUCGCGUCAAGAUAUGCCUAGGUGGGAUCAGCUAGUUGGUGAGGUAAUGGCUCACCAAGGCGACGAUCCCUAGCUGGUCUGAGAGGAUGAUCAGCCACACUGGAACUGAGACACGGUCCAGACUCCUACGGGAGGCAGCAGUGGGGAAUAUUGCACAAUGGGCGCAAGCCUGAUGCAGCCAUGCCGCGUGUAUGAAGAAGGCCUUCGGGUUGUAAAGUACUUUCAGUUGUGAGGAAGGGGGUAGUGUUAAUAGCGCUAUCUCUUGACGUUAGCAACAGAAGAAGCACCGGCUAACUCCGUGCCAGCAGCCGCGGUAAUACGGAGGGUGCGAGCGUUAAUCGGAAUUACUGGGCGUAAAGCGCAUGCAGGUGGUUCAUUAAGUCAGAUGUGAAAGCCCGGGGCUCAACCUCGGAACUGCAUUUGAAACUGGUGAACUAGAGUACUGUAGAGGGGGGUAGAAUUUCAGGUGUAGCGGUGAAAUGCGUAGAGAUCUGAAGGAAUACCAGUGGCGAAGGCGGCCCCCUGGACAGAUACUGACACUCAGAUGCGAAAGCGUGGGGAGCAAACAGGAUUAGAUACCCUGGUAGUCCACGCCGUAAACGAUGUCUACUUGGAGGUUGUGGCCUUGAGCCGUGGCUUUCGGAGCUAACGCGUUAAGUAGACCGCCUGGGGAGUACGGUCGCAAGAUUAAAACUCAAAUGAAUUGACGGGGGCCCGCACAAGCGGUGGAGCAUGUGGUUUAAUUCGAGGCAACGCGAAGAACCUUACCUACUCUUGACAUCCAGAGAAGCCAGCGGAGACGCAGGCGUGCCUUCGGGAGCUCUGAGACAGGUGCUGCAUGGCUGUCGUCAGCUCGUGUUGUGAAAUGUUGGGUUAAGUCCCGCAACGAGCGCAACCCUUAUCCUUGUUUGCCAGCGAGUAAUGUCGGGAACUCCAGGGAGACUGCCGGUGAUAAACCGGAGGAAGGUGGGGACGACGACAAGUCAUCAUGGCCCUUACGAGUAGGGCUACACACGUGCUACAAUGGCGCAUACAGAGGGCAGCAAGCUAGCGAUAGUGAGCGAAUCCCAAAAAGUGCGUCGUAGUCCGGAUUGGAGUCUGCAACUCGACUCCAUGAAGUCGGAAUCGCUAGUAAUCGUGAAUCAGAAUGUCACGGUGAAUACGUUCCCGGGCCUUGUACACACCGCCCGUCACACCAUGGGAGUGGGCUGCAAAAGAAGUGGGUAGUUUAACC
rnacentral:rRNA from 1 species